rnacentral:rRNA from 1 species
CCCCUAGAUGUUCUGGGCCGCACGCGCGCUACACUGAACAGUUCAACAAGUCUUAACCUUGGCCGAUAGGUCUGGGUAAUCUUUGAACGCUGUUCGUGAUUGGGAUAGACCUUUGCAAUUAUGGGUCUUCAACGAGGAAUUCCUAGUAAACGCAAGUCAUCAGCUUGCGCUGAUUACGUCCCUGCCCUUUGUACACACCGCCCGUCGCUGCCCGGAACUGAGCCAUUUCGAGAAAAAUGGGGACAGACUGCUUGUGGGUGCGCAAGCACUUCUUGCAGAUUGAAACCAUCUUGAUCGGUAUGGCUUGAACCGGGCAAAAGUCGUAACA